AGUGAACGCUGGCGGUAUGCCUAACACAUGCAAGUCGAGCGGACGCACAGUAAGCUCUUGCCUCUACGGGUGGCGAGUGGCGGACGAGUGAGGCAUACAUAACAUACUAAUUUUUCUGGGGUGAUAACGUAAAACAACUUACGCUAAUACCUCAUACGACCUACGGGUGGAAGCAAUGGUUCUUCGCGCCUUUGGUGUUUGUAAGAGACGGUGCCGGAUUGGAUAGUUGGUGAGGUAAGGGCACACCAAGGCAACGAUACGUAGCUGACCUGAGAGGAUGAUCAGCCACACUGGAACUGAGACACGGUCCAGACUCCUACGGGAGGCAGCAGUAGGGAAUAUUGGACAAUGGGCGAAAGCCUGAUGCAGCCACACCGCGUGAGUGAUGAAGGCCUUCGGGUUGUAAAGCCCUUUUGUUGGGAAAGAAAAGCUGCAUGUGUAAAUACGGCUGUUUUGACGGUACCCAAUCAAUAAGCACCGGCUAACUUCGUG
rnacentral:rRNA from 1 species